UACGUAGGGUGCGAGCGUUGUCCGGAAUUAUUGGGCGUAAAGAGCUUGUAGGCGGUUUGUCGCGUCUGCUGUGAAAAUCCGGGGCUCAACCCCGGACUUGCAGUGGGUACGGGCAGACUGGAGUGUGGUAGGGGAGACUGGAAUUCCUGGUGUAGCGGUGGAAUGCGCAGAUAUCAGGAGGAACACCGAUGGUGAAGGCAGGUCUCUGGGCCACUACUGACGCUGAGAAGCGAAAGCAUGGGGAGCGAACAGG
rnacentral:rRNA from 1 species